UGGCUACAUAUACAGCAGGCUUUUGUUGU
rnacentral:piRNA from 1 species